rnacentral:rRNA from 1 species
UACGGGGGGGGGCAAGCGUUGUUCGGAAUUACUGGGCGUAAAGGGCUCGUAGGCGGCCAACUAAGUCAGACGUGAAAUCCCUCGGCUUAACCGGGGAACUGCGUCUGAUACUGGAUGGCUUGAGUUUGGGAGAGGGAUGCGGAAUUCCAGGUGUAGCGGUGAAAUGCGUAGAUAUCUGGAGGAACACCGGUGGCGAAGGCGGCAUCCUGGGUUAACACUGACGCUCAGGCACGAAAGCGUGGGGAGCAAACAGG